rnacentral:lncRNA from 1 species
CACCUCUGGGACUGCUAAUAAAGUUGAUUAAAGUAACAGAGCUCAGAGGUGCUAUGUUUCACAUACAUGUAAGUCAGGUCUUGAGUAGACCCCAAAUUAUUAUUAUUAUUAUUAUUAUUUUUGAGACAGAGUCUUGCUCUGUUGCCCAGGCUGCAGUGCAGUGGCGGUAUCUCGGCUCACUGCAAGCUCUGCCUCCCGGGUCACGCCAUUCUCCUGCCUCGGCCUCCCGAGAAGCUGGGACUACAGGCGCCCGCCACCACGCCCGGCUAAUUUUUUGCAUUUUUUAGUAGGGACGGGGUUUCACAGUGUUAGCCAGGAUGGUCUUGAUCUCCUGACCUCGUGAUCCACCUGCCUCGGCCUCCCAAAGUGCUGAGAUUGCAGGUGUGAGCCACCGCGCCCGGCCUGUUUUUUUAAUAAGCUGUCUAGAGUUGGAAUUUUUUUCCCCAUAGAAAUAACCAGUUAUAUUCUCAACUCAUAAGUGGGAGCUGAGCUAUGAGGAUGCAAAGGUGUAAGAAUGAUACAACGGACUUUGGGGACUCAGGGGAAAGGGUGGGAGGGGAGUGAGGGAUAAAAGACUACACAAUGGGUACAGUGUACACUGCUCCCGUAAUGGGUGCACCAAAAUCACAGAAAUCACCACUAAACCAAACACCACCUGUUCCCCAUAAACCUAUUAAACAAACAAAAAAAAAAAAAACAAAGAAAGAAAGAAUGAAAGAAAGAUAUCCCAGAAACUUUUUUUUUUUUUUUUUGAGACAGGGUCUCACUCCGUCACCCAGGCCGGAGUGCAAUGGUGCAAUCUUGGCUCACGGCAGCCUUGACCUCUUGGGCUCAAGCAAUCCUCCAUCUCAGCCUCCUGAGUAGCUGGAACCACAGGCGUGUGCCACCAUGCCCGACUAAUUUUUGUAUUUUUGGCAGAGAAAGGGUUUCGUCAUGUCGCCCAGGCUGGUCUCAAACUCAGCAGCUCACAUAAUUUACCCACCUUGGCUUUCCAAAUUGCUGGAAUUACAGGCCUGAGCCAGUAUGCCUGGCCCCAAGAACUUUUGAUCAAUUAUCUUUUUAAAAAUGGCUUUGUUCCCAUGUGAGCGGAUCUUCUCCUACACUCUACCCUUUGUUCCAUCCGAUCCAUUGUCAACACCUGCAUCAUCAAUGCAUUCUAAAUUCACAGAGUUGAUGAAACAAGAUCUCCACUUUAUUCGUCAAAAUUGUCUUGGCUACUCCAGGCCCUAUGUUCUUUCAGAAGAAUUUCAGGAUUGUUCUAUCAUAACCCUAGAUUAAUUUGAGAACUGAUAAUUUGUUCUUCUAUUAGUCUUUCAAUAUGUUAUUCAACUUUCCCAUAUGUCUUGUACAUCUUUUGAUUUAUUCCCAGUUACUAUAACUCAUGCCUAUAAAAUUUUCUAAAUGAUUAUUAUGAAUAAUGGAACACUUACAAUAAAAUGUUCUCAUAUCUAAGGAUCUUGCUUAACCCUUUGAUUAGCAGUUUAUCUGUUGAGUCUUUAAAACU